UACGGAGGGUGCGAGCGUUGUCCGGAAUCACUGGGCGUAAAGGGCGCGUAGGCGGCGCGGGUAGUCAUCGGUGAAAGUUCAGGGCUCAACUCUGAAUCGGCCGGUGAUACUCCCGUGCUCGAGCACUGUAGAGGCAGGUGGAAUUCCGGGUGUAGCGGUGGAAUGCGUAGAGAUCCGGAAGAACACCGGUGGCGAAGGCGGCCUGCUGGGCAGUAGCUGACGCUGUUGCGCGACAGCGUGGGGAGCAAACAGG
rnacentral:rRNA from 1 species